rnacentral:rRNA from 1 species
CGUUGUUCGGAAUUACUGGGCGUAAAGCGUGCGCAGGCGGUUUUGUAAGUCUGUCGUGAAAUCCCCGGGCUUAACCUGGGAAUGGCGAUGGAGACUGCAAGGCUAGAAUCUGGCAGAGGGGGGUAGAAUUCCACGUGUAGCAGUGAAAUGCGUAGAGAUGUGGAGGAACACCGAUGGCGAAGGCAGCCCCCUGGGUCAAGAUUGACGCUCAUGCACGAAAGCGUGGGGAGCAAACAGG